rnacentral:lncRNA from 1 species
CCCCGUUUUUUCCCAGAUUUUCCCCUUUUUUUUCCCAGAUUUUUGCCCCCAUUUUUUCCCAGAUUUUUUUCCCGUUUUUCCCAGGUGUUCUCCGGGUGUUCUCCGGGUGUUUUCCGGGUGUUUUCCCAGUGUUUAUUCCCAGUUUUUCCGGCUGUUUUUCCGGUGUUUUCUGGGUGUUUUCCGGGUAUUUUCCCGGUGUUUUCCCGCUGUUUUUCCCAGUGUUUUUCCCGUUGUUUUCCCGCUGUUUUCCCGGUGUUUUCCCGGUGUUUUCCGGCUGUUUUCCCGGUGUUUAUUCCCAGUUUUUCCCGGUGUUUCCCCGGUGUUUUCCCAGUGUUUUCCCGGUGUUUUCUGGGUGUUUUCCCGGUGUUUAUUCCCAGUUUUCCGGGUGUUUUCCGGGUGUUUUCCUGGUGUUUAUUCCCGCUGUUUUCCCGGUGUUUUCUCCCAGUUUUUCCCGGUGUUUCCCCGGUGUUUUCCCAGUGUUUAUUCCCAUUUUCCCGGUGUUUUCCGGCUGUUUUCCCGGUGUUUAUUCCCAGUUUUUCCCGGUGUUUUCCCAGUGUUUAUUCCCAGUUUUCCCAGUGUUUUUCCCGGUGUUUUCCGGCUGUUUUCCCGGUGUUUAUUCCCAGAUUUUCCCAGUGUUUUCCCGGUGUUUUCCCAGUGUUUAUUCCCAGUUUUUCCGGGUGUUUAUUCCCAGAUUUUCCGGGUGUUUUCCGGGUAUUUUCCCGGUGUUUUUCCCAGUGUUUAUUCCCAGUUUCCCGGUGUUUUCCCGGUGUUUUCCCGGGUGUUUUCCGGGUGUUUAUUCCCAGUUUUUCCGGGUGUUUUCCGGGUGUUUUCCCAGUGUUUAUUCCCAGUUUUCCGGGUGUUUUCCCAGUGUUUUCCCAGUGUUUUUCCCGGUGUUUUCCCGGGUGUUUUCCCGGUGUUUAUUCCCAGUUUUUCCCGGUGUUUUUCCGGCUGUUUUCCGGCUGUUUUUCCCACCUGUCCAUCUCCGUCAGCAGCUCCAGAACCUCCAGGGCCACCUCGGGCUCCUUG